UCCCGUCGCGAUCAUCCGCUACCUAAACGAGCGCCGUUCGAGCGGUUUUCGAUCGCCGCUGUCCUACGGCCUCGAUCGGCUCUCGCGUAGCCGCCCGCGCGCGUGUACGCUGGCGCACACGGACCACGGGGCCGCUGUUUCGACGCGUAUAAAAACGGCGUCGUCCGUAGAAUCAGCGAGGCACUCUCGCGAGUCACGCCUACGCGCGUGUUUGCCGCUCGCGAGCAACGAACACGAGGGAGAGAAAGCGAGCACCGCGGAGGUGCGACGAAGAAAGGCGAAAGACAAGGGGCAAACGAGCGCCAACCGAGAAUGCCUCUAUAUACGAGCCAACACUCCUAGCGAGCUAUGCGCGUGGGUCCGGAGUUGUUCAAGGCCUACCUGCUUGCUUUGCUUCGACGCGCGAUCGCUUCUCUGCCUCUCUCUUUCUCUCUUUCCCUCCGUCCCUGCUGUUCUAGCCACUACGCAAUAUCGUGACACGCGUCGUGAGAAAAACUGUCGGAAAGUCGGAGAGGCGAAACGAGAGGCUGUCCCCGCGUGUCGAAACCUGGUUGUGGCGACUGUCGGAUGGCGGAGACGAACGCGAGAACCACGCGAAAUCCACGUUCGCGUCGAAAAUCGGAACGCGAGGUCCAAACGGAUUCGAAACGGUUCGGAAAAACGCGCGAGACGCGAUCGAAUCGACGACGAGUCGAGUCGCGUCCUCGCUGUAGGAGGAAGACGGAGGAUCGCGGAGGGGAAAAGAGACGGAGAGGAAUGAAACGCGUUGGGCGUCGAUCGGAGGCCACGAGAGGAAAUCGUAGCCGGUGAAACGUCGGUCGCGAGAGGUGUGGGUAUACCUAAAGGAUGGACGAGGCUCGUACGUGGCUCGACGAGCUGUCCGUAGCCGGAUUGUCAAGUGACGUCAGCGCACCGGAAAUGGAAUGUAGGUAGCUGUGCUUAUUAAGCUUCGCUGGCAGGCCGGAGAGGAAGAGACGAGCCGCGGGUACGAGCGGAGAAAGAGAAAGAGAGACGGAAAGGAAGAGGCGACGCGAACUAGCACGGCCAACAGCGCGAGAGAAAGAGAGAGAAGGACGAGGUUCAAUUGUUUCCUCCGCACACGCGUGCCGCGAGUGCCGCGUGUCGUCGACGUCGUCGUUCCUUCUCGGCCGUGCACGUUCGACCACGGAUGGACGUAAGUACGUAUACCUACGUCCGUUCGUGAACGACAGAACAGAAACGGCAGAAUCGGCGACACCGAUCGCGACGAUCGGUACGCGACCACGCCGACCGACCACGACCAACGACGACCGUCGGCGCA
rnacentral:misc_RNA from 1 species